AUGUUCUGGAACCUAAAGGACGAGCCCUUGCCCCCCUUGCCGGCCGCGAUCUCCGGCCCGUCGCCAUCGAUCUCCUCGUCGUCGCCUUCGGACGACAGCAUGAGCAGCGGCGGCGCCGGCGGCGGGGGCAGGGCGAGGGCGCUCUCGUCCCACGUGAGGAAGUGCAGCGUGAUGGGGCGGAGCGCGUGGCGGUGGAGCGAAAGCUUCUGGCUCAGCGACACGGUGUCGUAG
rnacentral:rRNA from 1 species